rnacentral:lncRNA from 1 species
AAAACCAGUGUUUGGUCUUGAAAUAUUUUUCUACCAACUUGCCAAGAUGAAACAGUUUCUCUCUGCAGAAGAAGAAAAUUAACUGUUAAAGAAUAUCAUUUAUCUUAUAUAUUUUUUUCUAGGUUACAAUUAUGCAACGACAAACCACUUAACAUACUGCUCAAUCAAGCAAAAAGACAAUUCUGAUACAGGGAACAGCAGAAAGUCACAAUGUCUAUUCUGCAAAUCCUUGAAGAACUUCAAAACUCAGCAUAAAAUUUAUCAACUAAUGAUAUUAUUCAUCAAAACAUGGGGGGUAGAUCUGCCUAUAUGGACAAUGGUGGCAUUACCAAAUGUGAUGCACCAAACAAAACAAUUAUGUAGACUUGAAAGCUCAAAUUGUUUCUUUUUAGUUGUGGAAGUUUAAAAACAAUGGAUUUGAUACCAGUACUAUCACCACGGUUGCAUGUUGCAUUGGGAUUGGUGAAAGUUUUGGAUUCUAUGUUGCAUUUGAUACUAAGUUGGAAUUGUAGUUCUGCAUUGUUGCAUAUAUGACCCUAUACAAUUGUUUCCGAAAUAAAUCAAUAUUUUUUACCGCAUUAACCACAGCGAAGUACAAGUAUAGUAUGAUGGACUGGGUGAAAGUUAGUCUAGCUUGAGGCCCUUCUAGACAUGAUAGCAAGAGAGUUAUGUUUGGUUCUUGGUGAUUUGGGGAAAGUUCAAGCCAAAGUGGA